UUGCGCCUUUACAAUUUUCCCCAAACCAUCAGACUUCCUGAGUCAACAACCGUCAAAAUCUUUCACUCGUCUUCUUCGCAAAGCACAAACACAGCCCUGGCCCUAGCCAUGGCUAUCAACAUCAGAGACUACGAAUUCAAUUGCGACACCCACGACCUCUACAGAGUAGAUUUCUUCGAUGACAAUAUCGAAACCCUAGUCACGCACACUCCGUCCAAGGUGAGGUCUUGGAUCCAGAAAAUCAAAUACAUACACCGUUUCCGGCUCCACGAACUCAUCGUCGGCCUCGACGUUGAGUAGCGCCCAUCCUUCACCCAAGGCGUCACCAACCCUGUAGCAACCCUGCAACUAUGCGUGGGCCACAAUUGCCUCAUUUUUCAGCUCUGCUACUGCGAUCGGAUCCCCAAGUGCCUUUUCGACUUUCUUGCGAAUCCGAGCUUUACCUUUGUGGGCGUCGGGGUAGGGCAAGAUGUUCGAAAGCUGGCGGAUGAUUAUGGCCUGGAGGUAGCGAAUUCUGUGGAUCUUAGGGUUUUUGAGGCGAGGCGCUACGGGCGGGACCGGCCCCGAAGCGUGAGCCUGAAGGACAUGGCAUCGGAGGUUCUAGGGCAGGAAUUUCAGAAGCCGAAGAGUAUUACUUUGAGUCACUGGGAAAAGCCAUACCUCUCCCCUACGCAAGUCAAGUAUGCUUGUGUUGAUGCCUUUGUUUCUUUCGAAAUUGGCAGGGUCUUGAUCGCAGCAGAGGACUAAAUA